rnacentral:rRNA from 1 species
GACGAACGCUGGCGGCGUGCUUAACACAUGCAAGUCGAACGGAAAGGCCCUGCUUUUGUGGGGUGCUCGAGUGGCGAACGGGUGAGUAACACGUGAGUAACCUGCCCUUGACUUUGGGAUAACUUCAGGAAACUGGGGCUAAUACCGGAUAGGAGCUCCUGCUGCAUGGUGGGGGUUGGAAAGUUUCGGCGGUUGGGGAUGGACUCGCGGCUUAUCAGCUUGUUGGUGGGGUAGUGGCUUACCAAGGCUUUGACGGGUAGCCGGCCUGAGAGGGUGACCGGGCACCUUGGGACUGCGGUACGGCCCAGACUCCUACGGGAGGCAACAGUGGGGAAUAUUGCACAGUGGGCCGAAGCCUGAUGCAGCAGCGCCGCGUGCGGGAUGACGGCCUUCGGGUUGUAAACCGCUUUCGCCUGUGACGAAGCGUGAGUGACGGUAAUGGGUAAAGAAGCACCGGCUAACUACGUG